CUCCAUGGUGGGCGAUGUGGGGGAUCCCUGAUCCGCCGGCUUUUUGGUAAUUAUUCACCGGUAUGGCAACCCGCAUCGCCUGCCACCUUG
rnacentral:antisense_RNA from 1 species